rnacentral:lncRNA from 10 species
CUGUCCCUCCCGCCCCGCCCGCCCCGCCCGCCCCGGACGCCUCUGCUGCGGUGUCUUAGCGGUCCGCGGACAGGCGACCUCCCCCGUGGACGCCCCUCUCCCGGCCGCCGCCCCGCCCCGCGCCCCGCUCCCCCGCGCCCCUGGGCCGAGACCUCCGGUCGCCUCGCCCCGUCUCCGGCCACGAAAGGCGCUGCGGACCUGGCGGUCACGCGCGAAGCCAGUGGCCUCCCCCCGCCCGGGGCUCCGGGAUCCGGGCACCAACAGACCCGGAGGGACCGCGCCGCCCC